AUUGAACGCUGGCGGCAGGCCUAACACAUGCAAGUCGAACGAGUGGCGGACGGGUGAGUAAUGUAUGGGAAACUGCCUGAUGGAGGGGGAUAACUACUGGAAACGGUAGCUAAUACCGCAUACCAUCGGAUGUGCCCAGAUGGGAUUAGCUUGUUGGUGGGGUAACGGAUCACCAAGGCGAGGAUCCCUAGCUGGUCUGAGAGGAUGACCAGCCACAUUGGACUUGAGCUACGGCCCAGACCACUACGGGAGGCAGGAGUGGGGAAUAUUGGACAAGGGGCUAAAGCCUGGUCCAGCCAUGCCGCGUGUGUGAAGAAGGUCUUCGGAUUUUAAAGCACUUUCAGUUGUGAGGCGUUACCAACAGAAUAAGCACCGGCUAACUUCGUGCCAGCAGCCGCGGUAAUUC
rnacentral:rRNA from 1 species